UACGUAGGGUCCGAGCGUUGUCCGGAAUUAUUGGGCGUAAAGAGCUCGUAGGCGGUCUGUCGCGUCGGCUGUGAAAACCCGGGGCUCAACCCCGGGCCUGCAGUCGAUACGGGCAGACUAGAGUGCGGUAGGGGAGACUGGAAUUCCUGGUGUAGCGGUGAAAUGCGCAGAUAUCAGGAGGAACACCGGUGGCGAAGGCGGGUCUCUGGGCCGUAACUGACGCUGAGGAGCGAAAGCGUGGGGAGCGAACAGG
rnacentral:rRNA from 1 species